rnacentral:rRNA from 1 species
UACGGAAGGCAGCAGUGGGAAUAUUGCACAAUGGGCGAAAGCCUGAUGCAGCUAUGCCGCGUGUAUGAAGAAGGCCUUAGGGUUGUAAAGUACUUUCAUCGGGGAGGAAAACAAAACUAAUAAUUUUAUUUCUUGACGUUACCCGAAAAAGAAGCACCGGCUAACUCCGUGCCAGCAGCCGCGGUAAUACGGAGGGUGCUAGCGUUAAUCAGAAUUACUGGGCGUAAAGAGCACGUAGGUGGUUUUUUUAAAGUCAGAUGUGAAAUCCCUGGGCUUAACCUAGGAACUGCAUUUUGAAACUGAAAUACUAGAGUAUCGUAGAGGGAGGUAGAAUUCUAGGUGUAGCGGUGAAAUGCGUAGAUAUCUGGAGGAAUACCUGUGGCGAAAGCGGCCUCCUAAACGAAUACUGACACUGAGGGUGCGAAAGCGUGGGGAGCAAACAGGGAUUAGAUACC